AGAGUUUGAUCAUGGCUCAGGGUGAACGCUAGCUACAGGCUUAACACAUGCAAGUCGAGGGGAAACGACAUCGAAAGCUUGCUUUUGAUGGGCGUCGACCGGCGCACGGGUGAGUAACGCGUAUCCAACCCGCCCACCACUUGGGGAUAACCUUGCGAAAGUAAGACUAAUACCCAAUGAUAUCUCUAGAAGACAUCUGAAAGAGAUUAAAGAUUCAUCGGUGAUGGACGGGGAUGCGUCUGAUUAGCUUGUUGGCGGGGUAACGGCCCACCAAGGCAACGAUCAGUAGGGGUUCUGAGAGGAAGGUCCCCCACAUUGGAACUGAGACACGGUCCAAACUCCUACGGGAGGCANCA
rnacentral:rRNA from 1 species